AUGACUGGUGGGCCUACUUCCCCGACGGGCCCAGCUAUGUGGUCUAUUUUGCGUGCGUUUUUGGUGAGAAAAGCGGUGCGCUGCGGCGAGCGGCGCAUUGGGCGGAUCGAACGUGGGUCGACAGAAAUAUCUCCCUCGUCACCCCCUUUCUCUCCCUCGUCUCAUCCCAUCCCGAUCCUCUUCUCCAUGCCGCCGCCGCCGCCGCCGCCGCCGCUUCCCCCCUCCCUCUCAGCCGCCUGUCUCCCCCACCUCCACCUCUCCUGCCUCCUCAUCCAACCAGCACAGCCAGACCAGCGAUGUGGACGAGGAGGCGACAGAUCGGGAGGCGGGCAAGAGGAACCAGGCGGUUCUCCUUCCAUGGCCGGGCCUCGACCUGCCGCAUCUUCUUCCUCCCAGUCCGGGGGAGAGGAGUGGUGGAUCCGCCUCCUCAAGCGAGCAUGGGCGCACGGGGAUUCGAUUCAGGGAUCUCCUUGCGAGAGGCCGCCACCGUACCGACUCCAACCUGCAACCUGUUCCAACUCAGGUUUGUCUUCACUUUCCUUGGUAGGCCACUGGCAGGAACAUGUACGCUGA
rnacentral:rRNA from 1 species